rnacentral:rRNA from 1 species
AUUGAACGCUGGCGGCAGGCCUAACACAUGCAAGUCGAGCGGAUGAAGGGAGCUUGCUCCUGGAUUCAGCGGCGGACGGGUGAGUAAUGCCUAGGAAUCUGCCUGGUAGUGGGGGAUAACGUCCGGAAACGGGCGCUAAUACCGCAUACGUCCAGAGGGAGAAAGUGGGGGAUCUUCGGACCUCCCGCUAUCAGAUGAGCCUAGGUCGGAUUAGCUAGUUGGUGGGGUAAAGGCCUACCAAGGCGACGAUCCGUAACUGGUCUGAGAGGAUGAUCAGUCACACUGGAACUGAGACACGGUCCAGACUCCUACGGGAGGCAGCAGUGGGGAAUAUUGGACAAUGGGCGAAAGCCUGAUCCAGCCAUGCCGCGUGUGUGAAGAAGGUCUUCGGAUUGUAAAGCACUUUAAGUUGGGAGGAAGGGCAGUAAGUUAAUACCUUGCUGUUUUGACGUUACCAACAGAAUAAGCACCGGCUAACUUCGUG